AGUAACGGCGAGUGAAGCGGCAAGAGCUCAAAUUUGAAAUCUGGCCCCUCCGGGGUCCGAGUUGUAAUUUGCAGAGGAUGCUUCGGGCGCGGUCCCCGUCUAAGUACCCUGGAACGGGUCGUCAUAGAGGGUGAGAAUCCCGUCUGGGACGGGUGGCCGUGUCCGUGUGAAGCUCCUUCGCCGAGUCGAGUUGUUUGGGAAUGCAGCUCUAAAUGGGUGGUAAAUUUCAUCUAAAGCUAAAUAUUGGCCGGAGACCGAUAGCGCACAAGUAGAGUGAUCGAAAGAUGAAAAGCACUUUGAAAAGAGAGUUAAACAGCACGUGAAAUUGUUGAAAGGGAAGCGCUUGCGACCAGACUCGCCCGCGGGGGUUCAGCCGGUACUCGUACCGGUGUACUCCCCCGGGGGCGGGCCAGCGUCGGUUUGGGCGGUCGGUCAAAGGCCUCCGGAAUGUGUCGCCCCCCGGGGCGUCUUAUAGCCGGAGGUGCAAUGCGGCCAGCCUGGACCGAGGAACGCGCUUCGGCUCGG
rnacentral:rRNA from 1 species